rnacentral:rRNA from 1 species
UACGUAGGGUGCGAGCGUUGUCCGGAAUUAUUGGGCGUAAAGAGCUCGUAGGCGGUCUGUCGCGUCGGCUGUGAAAACUCGGGGCUCAACCCCGAGCCUGCAGUCGAUACGGGCAGACUAGAGUGCUGUAGGGGAGACUGGAAUUCCUGGUGUAGCGGUGAAAUGCGCAGAUAUCAGGAAGAACACCCGUGGCGAAAGCGGCUCUCUGGGACGGUACUGACGCUGAGACGCGAAAGCGUGGGGAGCGAACAGG